rnacentral:rRNA from 1 species
GUCCAGACUCCUACGGGAGGCAGCAGUGGGGAAUAUUGCACAAUGGGGGAAACCCUGAUGCAGCGACGCCGCGUGAGUGAAGAAGUAUUUCGGUAUGUAAAGCUCUAUCAGCAGGGAAGAAAAUGACGGUACCUGACUAAGAAGCCCCGGCUAACUACGUGCCAGCAGCCGCGGUAAUACGUAGGGGGCAAGCGUUAUCCGGAUUUACUGGGUGUAAAGGGAGCGUAGACGGCAUGGCAAGUCAGAUGUGAAAGCCCGGGGCUCAACCCCGGGACUGCAUUUGAAACUGUCAGGCUGGAGUGCAGGAGAGGUAAGUGGAAUUCCUAGUGUAGCGGUGAAAUGCGUAGAUAUUAGGAGGAACACCAGUGGCGAAGGCGGCUUACUGGACUGUAACUGACGUUGAGGCUCGAAAGCGUGGGUAGCAAACAGGAUUAGAUACCCCAGUAUC